GACGAACGCUGGCGGCGUGCUUAACACAUGCAAGUCGAACGGUGAAGCGCCUUCCUUUUUGGUGGGUGUGGAUGAGUGGCGAACGGGUGAGUAACACGUGAGUAACCUGCCCCCUCCUUCUGGAUAACCGCAUGAAAGUGUGGCUAAUACGGGAUAUUCUGGGUCUGUCGCAUGAUGGGUCUGGGAAAGAUAUUGUUUCGGUGGGGGAUGGGCUCGCGGCCUAUCAGCUUGUUGGUGGGGUGAUGGCCUACCAAGGCGGUGACGGGUAGCCGGCCUGAGAGGGUGGACGGUCACACUGGGACUGAGCCACCGCCCAGACUCCUACGGGAGGCAGCAGUGGGGAAUAUUGCACAAGGGGCGCAAGCCUGAUGCAGCGCCGCCGCGUGAGGGAUGGAGGCCUUCGGGUUGUGAACCUCUUUCGCCAGUGAAGCAGGCCUGCCUCGUUUGUGGGUGGGUUGACGGUAGCUGGAUAAGAAGCGCCGGCUAACUACGUG
rnacentral:rRNA from 1 species